GUCAGGAUGGCCGAGCGGUCUAAGCGUUCCGUUCAGGUGGCAAUCUGGUUCCCCAGGCGUGGGUUCCAAUCCCGCUCCUGACA
rfam:Nematostella vectensis strain CH2 x CH6 NEMVEscaffold_232_Cont19873, whole genome shotgun sequence.